rnacentral:rRNA from 1 species
AUUGAACGCUGGCGGCAGGCCUAACACAUGCAAGUCGAGCGGAUGAAGGGAGCUUGCUCCUGGAUUCAGCGGCGGACGGGUGAGUAAUGCCUAGGAAUCUGCCUGGUAGUGGGGGAUAACGUCCGGAAACGGGCGCUAAUACCGCAUACGUCCUGAGGGAGAAAGUGGGGGAGCUUGGGACCUCCGGCACUCGGACGAUCGAAGGUCGGAUUAGCUAGUUGGUGGGGUAAAGGCCUACCAAGGCGACGAUCCGUAACUGGUCUGAGAGGAUGAUCAGUCACACUGGAACUGAGACACGGUCCAGACUCCUACGGGAGGCAGCAGUGGGGAAUAUUGGACAAUGGGCGAAAGCCUGAUCCAGCCAUGCCGCGUGUGUGAAGAAGGUCUUCGGAUUGUAAAGCACUUUAAGUUGGGAGGAAGGGCAGUAAGUUAAUACCUUGCUGUUUUGACGUUACCAACAGAAUAAGCACCGGCUAACUUCGUG